CAGCUACAAUUUAAAGACAUCGUAUAGGAGAAUUCUUUAAUAAAAUUGCUUUAAUGGUUUUCUUCACUAAUGGAUGGUCACUUAGGGGAGACGUGUUACAAGGCUUUGUGAAGGUAGAGAUUUCUGACUUAUGGACCAGUACAAUUCUUGAGGCUAACUUUUUAACUUCGUAAAGAUGAAUUAAGUAUCUGGCUGAGUCGCCGGGAUUUGGGGUCUUUGGAGAUACGUUGUUGUCUAAUGUCCAUUGUAACCAUGCUCUCCAAGAGAUCUGUUGGUUCUAAACAUGGAGUGUCUCCAGGCUGAUUGUAAUAUAGUGCGUUUCAAUUCGCUCCAAUUUGUUAUCUCAUGGGACCAGCCCGUACUUUCCAUACCUCCAAAAACAAAUUCCGAUUUCUGAAUGUUCCAAGGUUGUAGGUUUGUUUGUAAGUCCAGAAGGUGGUCAUUUAGAUUUUGAAUUCUGUAGGAAGCCUGUGCCCUCUUCUUCACUUCGGUCCUCCAAAAAGCUUACUUCCACUUCAGUAUCACUAAGAGGUAGUGUCCCUGGGAAUCAUUCAGGUAUUGCAGCACACGUGGAAUUAG